UACGUAGGGACCAAGCGUUGUUCGGAUUUACUGGGCGUAAAGGGCGUGUAGGCGGGAAUGUAAGUCGGGCGUGAAAUCCCUAGGCUCAACCUAGGAACUGCACUCGAAACUGCGUUUCUUGAGUAUCGGAGAGGAAAGCGGAAUACCUGGUGUAGAGGUGAAAUUCGUAGAUAUCAGGUGGAACACCAGUGGCGAAGGCGGCUUUCUGGACGAUAACUGACGCUGAGACGCGAAAGCGUGGGAG
rnacentral:rRNA from 1 species